CCUAGAGUUGUAGGCUUUGCCUGCUAUCUCUUACCCAUGUCUUUUGAGUACCUUACGUUUCCUCGGUGGGUUCGCCCACCGAUUGGACAAACUUAAACCCUUUGCAGUUGAAAUCAGCGUCUGAAAAACCUUAAUAGUUA
rnacentral:misc_RNA from 1 species